UACGUAGGGUGCGAGCGUUAAUCGGAAUUACUGGGCGUAAAGCGUGCGCAGGCGGUUGGGCAAGACCGAUGUGAAAGCCCCGGGCUUAACCUGGGAAUGGCAUUGGUGACUGCUCGGCUAGAGUGUGUCAGAGGGGGGUAGAAUUCCACGUGUAGCAGUGAAAUGCGUAGAGAUGUGGAGGAAUACCGAUGGCGAAGGCAGCCCCCUGGGAUAACACUGACGCUCAGGCACGAAAGCGUGGGGAGCAAAC
rnacentral:rRNA from 1 species